UCGAUUCCCUUAGUAGCGGCGAGCGAAACGGGAAGAGCCCAAACCAACAAGCUUGCUUGUUGGGGUUGUAGGACACUCUAUACGGAGUUACAAAGGACGACAUUAGACGAAUCAUCUGGAAAGAUGAAUCAAAGAAGGUAAUAAUCCUGUAGUCGAAAAUGUUGUCUCUCUUGAGUGGAUCCUGAGUACGACGGAGCACGUGAAAUUCCGUCGGAAUCUGGGAGGACCAUCUCCUAAGGCUAAAUACUCUCUAGUGACCGAUAGUGAACCAGUACCGUGAGGGAAAGGUGAAAAGCACCCCGGAAGGGGAGUGAAAUAGAACCUGAAACCGUGUGCUUACAAGUAGUCAGAGCCCGUUAAUGGGUGAUGGCGUGCCUUUUGUAGAAUGAACCGGCGAGUUACGAUUUGAUGCAAGGUUAAGCAGUAAAUGUGGAGCCGUAGCGAAAGCGAGUCUGAAUAGGGCGUUUAGUAUUUGGUCGUAGACCCGAAACCAGGUGAUCUACCCUUGGUCAGGUUGAAGUUCAGGUAACACUGAAUGGAGGACCGAACCGACUUACGUUGAAAAGUGAGCGGAUGAACUGAGGGUAGCGGAGAAAUUCCAAUCGAACCUGGAGAUAGCUGGUUCUCUCCGAAAUAGCUUUAGGGCUAGCCUCAAGUGAUGAUUAUUGGAGGUAGAGCACUGUUUGGACGAGGGGCCCCUCUCGGGUUACCGAAUUCAGACAAACUCCGAAUGCCAAUUAAUUUAACUUGGGAGUCAGAACAUGGGUGAUAAGGUCCGUGUUCGAAAGGGAAACAGCCCAGACCACCAGCUAAGGUCCCAAAAUAUAUGUUAAGUGGAAAAGGAUGUGGCGUUGCCCAGACAACUAGGAUGUUGGCUUAGAAGCAGCCAUCAUUUAAAGAGUGCGUAAUAGCUCACUAGUCGAGUGACACUGCGCCGAAAAUGUACCGGGGCUAAACAUAUUACCGAAGCUGUGGAUUGUCCUUUGGACAAUGGUAGGAGAGCGUUCUAAGGGCGUUGAAGCAUGAUCGUAAGGACAUGUGGAGCGCUUAGAAGUGAGAAUGCCGGUGUGAGUAGCGAAAGACGGGUGAGAAUCCCGUCCACCGAUUGACUAAGGUUUCCAGAGGAAGGCUCGUCCGCUCUGGGUUAGUCGGGUCCUAAGCUGAGGCCGACAGGCGUAGGCGAUGGAUAACAGGUUGAUAUUCCUGUACCACCUAUAAUCGUUUUAAUCGAUGGGGGGACGCAGUAGGAUAGGCGAAGCGUGCGAUUGGAUUGCACGUCUAAGCAGUAAGGCUGAGUAUUAGGCAAAUCCGGUACUCGUUAAGGCUGAGCUGUGAUGGGGAGAAGACAUUGUGUCUUCGAGUCGUUGAUUUCACACUGCCGAGAAAAGCCUCUAGAUAGAAAAUAGGUGCCCGUACCGCAAACCGACACAGGUAGUCAAGAU
rnacentral:rRNA from 1 species